rnacentral:rRNA from 1 species
AACGCUGGCGGCAUGCUUACACAUGCAAGUCGAACGGCAGCGACAGGGAGCUUGNUCCCGGGUGGCGAGUGGCGCACGGGUGAGUAAUACAUCGGAACGUGUCCUGUUGUGGGGGAUAACUGCUCGAAAGGGUGGCUAAUACCGCAUGAGACCUGAGGGUGAAAGCGGGGGAUCGCAAGACCUCGCGCAAUUGGAGCGGCCGAUGCCCGAUUAGCUAGUUGGUGAGGUAAAGGCUCACCAAGGCGACGAUCGGUAGCUGGUCUGAGAGGACGACCAGCCACACUGGGACUGAGACACGGCCCAGACUCCUACGGGAGGCAGCAGUGGGGAAUUUUGGACAAUGGGGGCAACCCUGAUCCAGCCAUGCCGCGUGCAGGAUAAAGGCCUUCGGGUUGUGAACUGCUUUUGUCAGGGACGAAAAGGACCGUGUUAAUACCAUGGUCUGCUGACGGUACCUGAAGAAUAAGCACCGGCUAACUACGUG